rnacentral:misc_RNA from 1 species
AACUUUCAGCUACGGAUCACUUGGUUCUGGCAUCGAUGAAGAACGCAGCGAAAUGCGAUAAGUAAUGUGAAUUGCAGAAUUCAGUGAAUCAUCGAAUCUUUGAACGCACAUUGCGCCCGCCAGUAUUCUGGCGGGCAUGCCUGUCCGAGCGUCAUUUCAACCCUCGAACCCCUCCGGGGGUACGGCGUUGGGGAUCGGCCCUUUACGGGGCCGGCCCCGAAAUACAGUGGCGGUCUCGCCGCAGCCUCUCCUGCGCAGUAGUUUGCACACUCGCAUCGGGAGCGCGGCGCGUCCACGUCCGUAAAACACCCAACUUUCUGAAAUGUUGACCUCGGAUCAGGUAGGAAUACCCGCUGAACUUAAGCAUAUCAAUAAGCGGAGGCU